AAAGUCGUAACAAGGUUUCCGUAGGUGAACCUGCGGAAGGAUCAUUACAAAUCCAAAACAACUACCCGUUGUAAUGUUCUCGGCCUUGGCUCGUCGUAAUGCCAUGUUGUCCCAUCGAUCGCGUCAUGCGUGACCAAUGGAUGAUGCUGCAUAUCGUCGUCAAUGCAGCACAGUAGUGUCGCAUUGACACCAAGGCUCGAUUUAAUGACUAUUUUCAUUUUAACCGUAUGUAACACGUCACGCAAGUGACACAACCAAAACAACUUUUAACAAUGGAUCUCUAGGCUCUU
rnacentral:misc_RNA from 1 species